GCGGGAGUAACUCAGUGGUAGAGUGCGACCUUGCCAAGGUCGAAGUCGUGGGUUCAAAUCCCAUCUCCCGCUCCA
rnacentral:tRNA from 1 species